ACAAUCUAAGAGAUACAAAGGGAAAAGUGUGACUGCUCUGACAGCAAAAACAAGCAAAUAUCUCCAGAGGGGAUUAAUCCUUCUGCUUCAAAGUAACCAAAACAAAGAAAGCUGAGCCAGCUUCACUGGAAACAACACCUGUCCAUCAGACAAGGAUGAGCUAAU
ensembl:misc_RNA